GUUGAAACACCGGUUCUCGUACAAUCACUGAAGUUAAGCAACAUUGAGCCAGGUCAGUAUCCAGAUGGGUGACUGCUUGAGAAUAUUAAGUGCUGUAA